rnacentral:sRNA from 1 species
UAACAAAACCGACUCAUUUAAUGGGCCUAAGCCCAGUAACUUUCCGACUCACUUAAUGGGCCGAAGACCAAUAACUUUACUUAAUUCAUUUUCACAUGAACACAAAGUUCUCUCUGGUCUUUGAUUCUUUCGUUGUGUGGCAUCUGAAGAGUUAAGAGGAAGAAGAAGAACGAUGGCAUGGAGAGGAAGCAUAUCGAAGUCUAUGAAAGAGCUUAGGAUUCUUCUUUGUCAAUC